ensembl:lncRNA
GUCUGCAGGAAGAGGGCAGACUGUAUUUUAUAUCAAAAGUUAAAUAAUGAGAAACCUCAGAUUUGGUCUGAAAAUAUAUAUUUAUUAGUAUGAAAACAGUCGUCGAUAACGGAACAGUUCCCUGAGCGUUUAGCCGGACGAACAAAACCAGGAUCCACCGUUGACCCACUUCAGGACUUCGCCCACACCCAGAUCUCUGGGCUCAGGUCUAGGUCCUCUGCCCAUCGUAAACAAUAGAAUGCCGGCACAAAUACAAUCAGCUGAGGUGCCAGGAGGAGUGUGAACGGGUCCUUCACAGAGCAGACCAGCGCUCACACCCAGCACCAGGGUUCAAGUUCAGAGUCACAGGGACAAGGGAACAAAAGAUCGGUCCAAUCGAGGUAGUACCGGCUGGUCCUCAGACCCCCUGGUCCUCAGGCCCCUGCAGGGGCCCCAUGUCCUCUAUGGGCCCCCAGACCCUCCUGUGGCCCCUGGUCCUCUAGGUGCCCCUCUACGUCCUCCUCCUCUUGCCGGACUUUGAGCCGUUGGCCCUCAGGUCCCUCCCCGUGACCCUUGACCUCUUCGUCGGGCGGCCCCUGCCAUGCGCCGCCCUCUCCUCCCGG